AAAGCAGAUUGGCUUGCUAAGUCAAGUCCUUUGUCAAAAAGGUAUCAAAUAUUGCACGCACAAAAAUGCAUAACAAUAAUAGUACUCUUUUUGUGAAUGUACAAGAGCUCUUUCCAUUAUUUGCAGGUCUUCUGAUGCUAUCAUGCAUCCUUGUUUUGCAAUUUGACUCAUAUCAACAUGUUUAAUGACAAAUUUUUGCAUGAGACUGAACUCCUUCCAUCUAUGGUGUAGCCAUUACAUCCUGGGCACAAUUCAUGGAAGGAUAAAGUACCCAGCACUGACCUACUAACUUACGCUGGCCUCCCAA